rnacentral:miRNA from 1 species
UCACUUCUACUCUGGGUCUGCA